rnacentral:rRNA from 1 species
CAGUAGCCGCGGUAAUACGUAGGUGGCGAGCGUUGUCCGGAAUCAUUGGGCGUAAAGGGUGCAUGGGCGGGUCUUUAAGUCAGGGGUGAAAUCCUGGAGCUCAACUCCAGAACUGCCUUUGAUACUGAAGAUCUUGAGUUCGGGAGAGGUGAGUGGAACUGCGAGUGUAGAGGUGGAAUUCGUAGAUAUUCGCAAGAACACCAGUGGCGAAGGCGGCUCACUGGCCCGAUACUGACGCUGAGGCACGAAAGCGUGGGGAGCAAACAGGAUUAGAUACCCGAGUAGUCCCUGUCUCUUAUAC